AGGAUUCCUCUGUUCCCAGACCUCAUUUAAGGGUUGGCAGUGGAGAUAAGAGUAUUUUGCUGGAAAUCCCUGUAUACCUGAGUCUUUCUUAAACCGCUGCUCUGCUGUCAAGGUGAAGCUGUUCCGCAGGGUUGCUGAGCAUUUCCAUUUUGGGGUAUACGCGACUUUCUCAGAACUGGGAGCUGCACACCUGCAUUCCUGGGACUUCUGGCUGCUUGUACUGCUGGUCUUGUUGCUUUGGUUCUUGAGACUCUACCUGCAUUACUAUAGCCAGUGGCUCUUCCUUCAGAGCAUCUCAGUUCCUGUUACAAAUUUAUCAUAGCUCUGGGACUCUGGACAGUGCUGGACCCGUUGGCAGUGUUUAUAGUGGAUUCAUUCCUGGGGCGACUUGCAUACAGUGUAGAGAAACCCAUUGCUGAUGCUGCAAAGCUCUACUGGGCGUUUCUAAGAUCAGAGGAAUCAGGGGUUUCUGGUGCACUAAUCACUGUGAUGCUUUACACAGUCCUGUUCAUCAUCUCAUCGACAGUGUUAUACCUUUACUUUCUAAGGCUACACAGUGAGGGGUGGCUGUUGGAUGUAUUUCAACGCAUUCAUGGUGAAGAAGGUACAUUCUUCGUUCCAUUGGACUUAGAGAUUUCCAUUCAGGAACUGAGCUACAUUAUGAAAAGAGCUGAGCAGUGGAGAGGAAUCAAUGGUGAAAGACGGAUGGUACACAGAUUACAUGGCCACAAUCACAUUUACACAGCAGUCUGGAAUGCACUGUGGGGAGAGAGCCACCAGAGCCCGGCACAGCACAGAAACACACUUGAUUAUUUUGGAAGAAGUCAUCUACGAUGUAUUUAAUGAGGCAGGCUGCAAAGAAGUAAAAAUGCCACCUACAAAUUCAGGCAGAAGCAUUUGCAGAAACUGUGUCCUGUGAACCUUCUAGAAGGGGGAAGCAUGAGCUCCCACCUUCCAUCCUGUUACAGAUAGAGAGAUGGAUGUGACCAUUUAUGGAGCUUUAUGGAAGUAGGCAUAUGUUAACUUUGUUAUCCCAUAUUUGGGAUACCAGAACCAAGAAUAAAUAGCAAUCCAUUGACCCACCAUUGAUCAGGAUUUCAGUGUAGCUUUUUUCUUGUUGGUAGAUGUUCCUAAAGUGACAAUAUCUCGCUGUUCUCGUCAAGCAAUCACUUUCCUAAAGGAAAAAUUUGACUGAUAUCAAUUUUUAUGGGAUUUAGACCACAGGGUGCCACCUCUUCUUGCAGUAGGACUUUUAGCAUAGUACUACAGACAAGGAAAGUUAGACAAGCACUAAGCUGAAACAACACCUUUAGCAUACCAAGCAUAUACUCAAAAACCUUGCUCAUAGAGUAGCUUUCUGAAAAAAUGCAAGCUGUAUAGGCAGAAAGAUAAUGUGAAACUUACACUUCAAGUAAAGCUUGAUGCACUGCAAAAUAAUUUUAAUGAGACUAGAGCUCAUUUUCUAAUUCUAAAAUGAUAUUAUAGAAAACCAUAAAAAAUUACCCGGCAGUAGUUUUUUGAAAGGAAAAUAUAUUUGUAAUUAUCUUGAACACGCAAGAUUACUUCAGGGCCUAUUAUCGACACAAUUUUGGUACCACUUUACAGUAAUUUGCAUUUAUUACUCUCAGGCCAACUAUUAAUAUGUUAAUAAAUAAGUCAUUAAUACUUGUUAUUUAAUUGCUAUCUAUUUAUUCCUGUUCAAUAAUGCAUUAAUUACUUGUGAAUAGUUGAGGGCAAAAUCCUGCCCUUGCUAGUGCAAUCAGCAGUGGCAGAGAGGAAACCAGUAUUGGACAUGUUAGCAUUGCAAGAACUGCUGAUCUGAUAGAGCGCAAGUGCUUUAACCCAUUUGGUGCAAGGAGAACAUUUCAUUCUGUUGGAUGAAGCCUAAUGAGUCUCCACAUAUCUAGUGAAUAUGCUGGGAGGACAAUUGGUGUGUUUUCUGUUUGAAGGUUGAGUGCUAUUCUUAGUGGAUUGCGUGCCUGAUUUUUGAGCAAACUGGUAUGUAGGAAUGGAUAGUGAGACUAGGCCAAAUGUAGGGCAAGGAUGUCUGACUGUGAAUCAAACAGAUCUGAUUAUCUAAAAUUUGGUAUCUCUGUAGUUGCAUGAUAAAUCUUACCCACGGACACAAGUAGAAGUGUUUCCGUCGCCUUUCAGGAAACAUGAUUUCCAAAAGACAGGUGAAAAGUAGCAGAGAUGGUUGUUAUUUUGGGCAGUAAUAAUAGGUAGAAAAAAGAUAGGAAGAGUUGGAAAGAAUAAUAACGUAGUUCAGAAUUGUGGGAUUCUGAAGGAAAAGUCAGCAAAGCACAAUGUGAUAAAAGGAGAAAAGAAAGGAAAGUUGUCUCAGAAUUUAUGAAGAAGACACAAUGAUACUAAAGAAAUGGAAUUAGAACAGAGAUGCUAGGUAAAAAAAGGUGAUAUGAAAAGCGUUACACAAUCGUGUUACUUCUGGUUAGACUAAGAGAAAGUUCCUCUUAACAAAUUAAAGAUAAUAUCACCAAGUUAGAGAUCACUGUGCUGCAAAUGGACAAAUGAAAACAUGUUGAGAGAGCAAAAGAAUAGAAAGUGUUAAUUUUCUUUAUAUUUUUCUUCUUUUCACAAAAAUCUUUCCAAUGGUGAGUUGUACCUUAUAUGUUUAAGUUCUAUCACUCCGUGUAUAUGAGAUUUAACGUCUUUAAAAACAACAGAUGGCUGUGGUGAAAGAUAAGACCUUAUAAUUGUGGCUUGUGGUUUCUUUUCCCCAAAUCAGUUCCGGUGAUCUUUGGGAAUCCUAGCAAUUUGUGAGUUCAUGAUCGAGCUUUUUCCUAAGCAUAACCCAUGCUAUAUAACUUUCUGAAACCACUCACUGGAGAUUUCCACACAACGUUUCCAGCAAUUUGGAUUUUACCCAGAAUCUAAAAGGUUUUUUUUUGAGCUCUGAGAGUACAAUAGGAGAUCAGUAAGAAGCAGUAAAGCCAGUUUUGAGCAUAUGCAGAAAUAUUAGCAGUAAUAUGGGAUUUGAUCUUUUAGCCAGUAUGAAUAAACCAUUAGAUUUAUCUGGGCUAACACACAGUUGUUUUAACUAGUACUGCUAAACUCUGCUACUCUGAGACAAUUCUGCUCAGCAGAUAGAGAUGACCAUCUAUGUAAUUAAAAAUAAUAAUCUUUCUGCUACAGAAAUGGUUGGAGGGAAAACUUUACUAGUUUGUGGUCCAGCAUUGACUUCAUUAGGGCCAGCG